rnacentral:rRNA from 1 species
GAUGAACGCUGGCGGCGUGCCUAAUACAUGCAAGUCGAGCGAACAGACGAGGAGCUUGCUCCUCUGACGUUAGCGGCGGACGGGUGAGUAACACGUGGAUAACCUACCUAUAAGACUGGGAUAACUUCGGGAAACCGGAGCUAAUACCGGAUAACAUGUUGAACCGCAUGGUUCAACAGUGAAAGACGGUCUUGCUGUCACUUAUAGAUGGAUCCGCGCCGCAUUAGCUAGUUGGUAAGGUAACGGCUUACCAAGGCAACGAUGCGUAGCCGACCUGAGAGGGUGAUCGGCCACACUGGAACUGAGACACGGUCCAGACUCCUACGGGAGGCAGCAGGAGGGAAUCUUCCGCAAUGGGCGAAAGCCUGACGGAGCAACGCCGCGUGAGUGAAGAAGGUCUUCGGAUCGUAAAACUCUGUUAUUAGGGAAGAACAAAUGUGUAAGUAACUAUGCACGUCUUGACGGUACCUAAGCAGAAAGCCACGGCUAACUACGU